GACGAACGCUGGCGGCGUGCCUAAUACAUGCAAGUUGAGCGAUGAAGAUUGGUGCUUGCACCAAUUUGAAGAGCAGCGAACGGGUGAGUAACGCGUGGGGAAUCUGCCUUUGAGCGGGGGACAACAUUUGGAAACGAAUGCUAAUACCGCAUAACAACUUUAAACAUAAGUUUUAAGUUUGAAAGAUGCAAUUGCAUCACUCAAAGAUGAUCCCGCGUUGUAUUAGCUAGUUGGUGAGGUAAAGGCUCACCAAGGCGAUGAUACAUAGCCGACCUGAGAGGGUGAUCGGCCACAUUGGGACUGAGACCCGGCCCAAACUCCUACGGGAGGCAGCAGUAGGGAAUCUUCGGCAAUAGACGAAAGUCUGACCGAGCAACGCCGCGUGAGUGAAGAAGGUUUUCGGAUCGUAAAACUCUGUUGGUAGAGAAGAACGUUGGUGAGAGUGGAAAGCUCAUCAAGUGACGGUAACUACCCAGAAAGGGACGGCUAACUACGUG
rnacentral:rRNA from 1 species